rnacentral:tRNA from 1 species
GCGCCCGUAGCUCAACGGACAGAGCGGCGGACUUCGAAUCCGUAGGUUGGGGGUUCGAAUCCCUCCGGGCGCG